rnacentral:lncRNA from 1 species
CCAGGCUUGAGGUUGAAUCAGAGCUGUAGCUGCUGGCAUUCACCACAGCUCACAGCAACGCUGGAUCCUUAAUCCAUUGAGCAAGGCCAGUGAUUUAACCAAAAUCCUCAUGGAUACUAGUUGGGCUUGUUCCCACUGAGCCACAGUGGGAAUUCCUGCUCUUUCCUUUUUUAAAAUCCAUAGCUUCUUGCCAUCACGGGCUCAGUCAUUCUCUGCCUGGCAGGCUGAAACCUUCCCCUGCUCACACUUCUGCGCUUUAUGUGCUGAUAACAUGGUUCUAAUUCAUUUAUAAACAUUGGGGUAUCUUCUGCAGUCAUCAUCUUUUAGAGGAAUAUGAAUUGUCCUUACCAUCUGACAAACUUGCGAUGGUUCUAAGGCUCAGAUGUGGUGCUGUAGGCGGAAGAUAAGGGGAGUCUGAAGAGUCUUGGAUUCAUUUCCUUAGGCUAGGUAAGAAAUUAACAAAAACCAUGGGACUUAAAGCAACAUACACUUAAUCUGCCACCUUUCUGGAGGCUUAAAGUCUGCUUCAUGCUCCUUCCCCGGCUUCUGAGGCUGCCAGCAGCCCUGGCCUUUCUUUGGUUUGUGGAUGCAUCACUCUGAUUUCUGCCUCUGUCUUCACAUGAUCUUCUCUGCCUGUUUCCUCUUCUGUCUCUUAAGGAUACCUGUCACUGGCUUUCAGGCCCACCGUAAUCCAGACUGAUCUCAUCUUGAAAUCCUUGCCUUAAUUACAUCUGCGGAGACUCUUACUCUGAGGCUCCGAGGAGACGUGUCCUUUGGGAGUCACUCUCCAGUCCAGUACCAGUCUUCUCACUGAGCAUCCCUUCUGCCUGGCCUGAUGCAAGUCACUCUCCCUCCCUGGGUCUCCAUUUCUCUUGGGCCAUCUCUAAAUCAUUCCUAUUUAGAAUAUUCCACCCGGGUGAAAAUCCUAGGGAGGGGUCAGACCCAACUUUCCUCAUUCAACACUCACGAUCCUGCCUGGGUGGGGCGCAGGGCUGUACCCCAGGGAGACAGGUGACCUUCAGCCUCGUUCCCCCCCCACCUCUGAGAACAAAGGCUAGAGAGAAAGUGGACUUUAGGGGAAGUGAUUACAGUGACCAGAGUGAGAAGUUCCCUGAGGUUCAGUCCUGCUUCACCACACCAUCAGAGAGCCUAGCCCCGAGCAGGAAGUCUUUAUUGAUGCAUUUUUCAGCUGGUAAGAGCUAUGAGAGGAUGCCCCAAACGACUGUUUUCAGAACACAGAGAGCCAACUGGCUGUGCCUUGGAGGGUCCAGAUGGCUUCUCAGUGGAGGUGGUGCUCAAGCUGAGGCCUGGAGAAUGAGUGAUAGUGAACUGAGGUGGGGCUGGAGGGGGCUCUGAUGCUGCCCCAGGUGCACAGGGCAGAGGCGAGAGACAGCUCAGCCUUCUCUAGGGCAGAGAAGGGGCUCAUAAUGGCAGUAUAGGAGGUCACACAACUUGCCUCAGUCUAGUCCCUCCUAGAAGGUAGGGCUCAGACAACUGCUAGGAGCCAUACCCCAGAGCUGUUCUGGUGACAGCACUCCACUCUGCCAUCUUGACACCAUCGUGUGCUGUUAGAUCACAGUUACAGGAAUGUGUGUUAUCAUCCCCAUUUUAUAGAUGAAAAUGAGAUAUAUCAGUUCCUACUGCUGCUGUAACAAAUGGUCACACACCUGGUGGUUUAUUUUUUAUUUUUUUAUUUUGGCCUUUUUGCCUUUUUGAGGGCUGCUUCCCAUGGCAUAUGGAGGUUCCCAGGCCAGAGGUCGAACCGGAGCUGUAGUCACUGGCCUACGCCAGAGCCACAGCAAUGCGAGAUCCGAGCAGCGUCUGCAAACUGCACCACAGCUCACGGCAACGCCAGAUCCUUAACCCACUGAGCAAGGCCAGGGAUCGAACCCACAACCUCAUGGUUCCUAGUCGGAUUCGUUAACCACUGUGCCACGACGGGAACUCCCACUUGGUGGUUUAAAACAGUGCAGAUAUAUUCUCUGGCCAUUCUGGAAGAAGGAACUCCAGAGUCAGUCUCACAGAGCUAGAGUCAAGGAGUCAGCAGAGCUGGUUCUUUCUGGAGGCUCCAGAGGAGAAUCCAUUCUUUGCUUUUUCCAUUUAUAGAGGCUGCCCACAUUCCUCAGCUCACCGCCCCUUCCUUGAUCUUCAAAGCCAGUCUCAUAGUCUCUUCAAAUCUCCUCUGACCUUGUCCUCUGCUUAUGCCAUUGUAUAUCCUUCCCUUUCCCGCUUCUCUCAUGUUCCCUGACUCUGACCCUCUUGCUUCCCUAUUAUGAGGCCCACUGUGCUGACAUUGAACCUACCUGGAAAGUCCAGGAUACCCUUCCCAUCUCAAGACCCUUAAUUUUCCCUUGUGAGAUCACAUAGUCACAGUUUCUGGAGAUUAGGACAUAGACAUCUUUGGGGGGGGUGAUCAUUAUUGAAUUUACCACAGGAGGCUUCGAGGUGGUUAGAUAUAUGUCCCAAGAUUAGUAUACAGACCACUCAGCACUGUCCAUUGCACCACAGCUCCUCUCUCCCCUUCUGCCAGGAAAUCCUGAGCUGCCCAGUGAACCACAGCCCAAUUUCAGACUCGGAGGGCAGAUCUGAGUUAAGUUCUCCCAAGGCAAUUGGCCUAUGGGACAGAUAUCGCAACAAGUAUUAUAUUUGAAGCAAAUGAUCCUGCAAAACCAGCAGGUCCUGGCUCAGAGAACUGGAGGAUGAGGUGCCGCAUCCUGAUGGGUGGAUGGAUUGUGGGAGGCCAAAGGGAGGGUAGGGCUGGCAGGUGCCCAGAUAGGUGGGAAGAUGAGAUGGAGGAGCCAUGGAAAGAUAGCACAGUCAGGUGGAUUGGGGGCAGGGAAGAGAGACAAAAGGAGGAGGAGCUGACUGGGGAAGGAUGGACUCAGACACCUGGGGACUAUGGUAUCAGGCAGACCUUGGGCUUGAAACUCAGCUCUGCCACUUCUCACGGAUGCUGCAUCUGCCUAACCUCUUUGAGCUGCAGUCUCUUCUCUGUGAAGUGAAAAAUCACACCUCUUAAGGCUGUUAUAUACCACUAUUAUGUGUAUGCUACCUUUUUAUACACAUUUUUGUACUUUUACCAUAAAUACUAUGCAGUGUUUUUUCAGUGUUUUCAUUGAUAUGAUAACAUAUGGUAAGUGUAAUUUUACAUCCAUUUUAACCCAAAAUUAAUUGUUAAAGAUAUACCCAUAAUGAAUGAAUGAAUGAAUGAGAGCAAUUACAGAACAAGCCCUAAGGUGGGAAAACUUUCUUCAAUUGGUGAGCACCUCAUUGACUGGGGAGGAUUUCAAGCACAGGCCAAGUCAUCUUCUUGUGGCUCCUCCAUCUCCUGGGGACCUUCACACCUCUGCCUGGAGUAUUUGCUGGCCCCCUCCCCACUCUGGCUUUUUGGAGUCUGUCCAUCCUUCAGCCAGGACACUUCCUGAAACCAUCUCCAGUUCUUAGGCUCACAGAUGCUGGUGGGGGGGAGUGAAUGCUUCACAAAGAGUAACUAAAAACAGCAACAACAGUGCAGCUUGGCAAUUACACUACAAGUUAAGGAUGGAUGGACAUCCUGUCCAACACACAUAGUCACAACACCCUGACUACUCCCUCCAAGUCUGCCCCAAAUUAAUCUUGCCUAUAAAGAGCUCCAUUUCUCCAGAGGAAGAGCCGCUUUAUUAGAGAAGCCCCUUCUCCAUAAAGAUAGAACAAGCAGACCAAUAAACCUUCCCUGGUUUCGGCAUCACUUUGGAAAUCGAUGUGCUAUGAUUGCGAAUCCAGCCUCUGUCAGCAGCCGCCUAAUUUUAGCUGGAUCUUUGCGGGCUUCUCACCGGGCUCAUCCGCCCCCAUGGACUGGCAGAGCGGUUCCCAGAGCAUCAUUGAUCUUUUGACUAAAGUGUCCUAAUGAAAUACAAAUCUGUUGUCACUUAGAGAGCCAUCUGUCAUGGCAGCACAGAAGAAAUGCUACCAGGAGAACAAUAACCAUAAUUUCAUUUUAAGACCCAGCCUUCUUCUCCCCUUUCCUGCCCCCAAAAAAAGUCAAUAUCUUUCACUGUUUCAUUUUGUCACAGAGCAAUAAGAGGAAAGCCAUCCAUAGGGCGUUAAAGAUGUUUCCAAUUAUGUGCAAAUCCUCUGUUAUAAGGGCCCUUGGCCUCUUGGAGUAGUUAGCACCUAUUUGCAUAAAGGGAGUUAGCCAAAGCUUAUUCUGUGUUCCUGUCUUGGGGCAUCCUGCCCAGGUAAGUGACAGGUGUGCAGUGUUCUUGGAGUCCUGGGGUCACAAGUACCAGCCUUACAGAGCAUCAGGCCUUUCCCGGGGGGAAUGGUCAAAAUAAGCAAAGUUUUUUUUUGUUUGUUUUUGUUUUUUUUUUUAAAUGCAGAAUAAAAUUUUAUUUUAUUUUAUUUUAUUUUUAUUUUUUUAUUUUCCCACUGUACAGCAAGGGGGUCAGGUUAUCCUUACAUGUAUACAUUACAAUUCCUUUUUUCCCCCACCUUUUCUUCUGUUGCAACAUAAGUAUCUAGACAUAGUUCUCAAUGCUAUUCAGCAGGAUCUCCUUGUACAUCUAUUCUAAGUUGUGUCUGAUAGGCCCAAGCUCCCGAUCCCUCCCACUCCCUCCCCCUCCCAUCAGGCAGCCACAAGUCUCUUCUCCAAGUCCAUGAUUUUCUUUUCUGAGGAGAUGUUCAUUUGUGCUGGAUAUUAGAUUCCAGUUAUAAGUGAUAUCAUAUGGUAUUUGUCUUUGUCUUUCUGGCUCAUUUCACUCAGGAUGAGAUUCUCUAGUUCCAUCCAUGUUGCUGCAAAUGGCAUUAUGUCAUUCUUUUUUAUGGCUGAGUAGUAUUCCAUCGUGUAUAUAUACCACAUCUUCCGAAUCCAAUCGUCUGUCAAUGGACAUUUGGGUUGUUUCCAUGUCCUGGCUAUUGUGAAUAGUGCUGCAAUGAACAUGCGGGUGCACGUGUCUCUUUUAAGUAGAGUUUUGUCCGGAUAGAUGCCCAAGAGUGGGAUUGCGGGGUCAUAUGGAAGUUCUAUGUAUAGAUUUCUAAGGUAUCUCCAAACUGUUCUCCAUAGUGGCUGUACCAGUUUACAUUCCCACCAACAGUGCAGGAGGGUUCCCUUUUCUCCACAGCCCCUCCAGCACUUGUUAUUUGUGGAUUUAUUAAUGAUGGCCAUUCUGACUGGUGUGAGGUGGUAUCUCAUGCAACUGACAAGGGCUUAAUCUCUAGAAUAUAUAAACAACUUAUACAACCCAACAGCAAAAAAACCAAUCAAUCAAUGGAAAAAUGGGCAAAAGACCUGAAUAGACAUUUCUCCAAAGAAGAUAUACAGAUGGCCAACAAACACAUGAAAAAA